GUGGCAAAGUAGAUAAUCUCCCUCCCCUGGUACUUAGAAACGGCCUAUCAGGGCUCAGUCAUUGCUUUAUAAAGGCUGUGAUUAGGCUACCUGGGAUGCGUCAUUGUUGGCCCCGCCCAUCCGGUACGUGUGCGCUUCCGCCUAACAAAGGUAUGUUUGUAGCUGGUCUGGCUAAUGCUGCAAUGAGCUCUUGGACCUCGGCUAACUAUAUUAAUUUAUUGUAGCUGGAGUCGCCUUUUUGCAGCUUGAAUAGCCAAUUAUUCCUGGCUUCGCUGUGGUUUUUAGGCUGUUUUUGCCACCUGGUUAGACUGAUUUCAUUCAAGUAAUCUUCUGAGACUUGUGCUGUGAGCAACUGUAUGAGGUGUGUGUAACGCUGUAGUCAAUACCUGGCCCCUGAGUCGGGUGGCUAGCUGUCCUAGUAUCCUGGUGGUGGUGGUGUUUGGAGCACGGAGUGUGGAUUGUCGUUUGUAGUCACUCACCUCACUCUGUGUGUGUGUGUGUGUGUGUGUGUGUGUGUGCUUUUACGAAUAGCCACUUUUGCAGCUAGCCUACCCUGCUAGGGGUAAGCCUUCGUAAAACUGAUUAAUGUAUGCCUGGUCGAUUCAUAUCUUUGCCUGAUCUUUUAAAAGGUGUAUUUUCUACUUUGUGAAUUUAAUAAAUAUUUGUAUACGCUAGUGCCUCUGUCUCUGCCUCCUAUGGUAACGAACCUGUGUGUCUAAAUUCCAUCAAGUAUUUAGUUCCCCUCACUUUAGAGGGGUGGCGUAGUCGGUAGUUAUAUGAUAAUUAAUUAACUUCAAGUUGCCACGCCCACAUUCUGGCGUAGUCGGCAGGGUACCGUGUUUGGCGGAGACACUGGUAUUAGUGGUUGUGUUUUUUUGUUUUUUCUUUUAUUUUUCUGUUGCAGUGAGAUUGGUAAGGAGUAGCAGCAAAACAGCAGCGUACGUCUGGUGGAUUCUGAUUCUUUGAGUCUACUCCCUCUUGUUGGUAAGUGUUACGGCCGUCAAAAUUAUGGAAGAAGAGUUACAGGAACUGAGGGAAGUAGUAGCUCAGUUGCGGGCAGAAAAUGAGAGGUUGCGUCAAGACCACUUUCUUGCGCUUCCUGGCCCUAGUGAUGCACCUUCUAUUGUUCCUGGUCCUUCUGUUGCUGCCCCCCCUCAGCCAAGUAGUGCACAGGCAGUCCUGCCAGAACGAUUCGUUUUUGUACCUCGAGACAGGAAAUGUCAAAAAUUCAAUGGCAGGGUUGGUCUGAGCAUUGAUGAGUGGGUUGAAGAGGCCAAAGCUUGUAUGCAGGCUCGUCACCUGUCUGUUUCUGAUCAAGCUUUCUUCUUGUUUGACCACUUGGAGGGGGAGGCAAGGGAAGAGAUUAGGUACCGUUCGGAGAUUGAGCGAAAUGAUCCAGAUAAAAUUAUUUUGGUGUUACGGGAAUUAUAUGGUUGCUCACAGUCAUAUGUCUUAUUACAGGAGGCAUUUCUUUCUAGAAAGCAGCAGGAGGGUGAAUCAUUGUUGGAGUUUUCCCUAGCUUUAAUGGGUCUCCUAGAACGUGUGACGCAGCGAUCGCCGUAUGUUAUGCCAAAUUCACAAGUUUUGCUACGCGAUCAGUUCAUUGAACAUGUUUGUGACGUGGCCCUUCACCGAGAAUUAAAACAGUUAAUACGUCGUCAGCCAAUGUUAACAUUGUUGGAAGUUCGAAGCGAAGCUCUUAGAUGGGAAAGGGAGGGGAUGUUGGGGAGUACGAGAGGACCUGUAGCAAGUGUCUCUAGUGUUCCCUGUUGUGUAGCCAUUGUGGCAGAGCACUUGUAACAAGUGUCUCGUGUUUCUCGUCGAGUAGCCGCCAUGGCAGAGCACUUGUAACAAGUGUCUCGUGUUUCUCGUUGAGUAGCCGUCAAGGCCAGAGCACUUGUAACAAGUGUCUCGUGUUUCUCGUUGAGUAGCCGUCAAGGCCAGAGGACUUGUAACAAGUGUCUCGUGUUUCUCGUUGAGUAGCCGUCAAGGCCAGAGGACUUGUAACAAGUGUCUCGUGUUUCUCGUUGAGUAGCCGUCAAGGCCAGAGGACUUGUAACAAGUGUCUCGUGUUUCUCGUUGAGUAGCCGUCAAGGCCAGAGGACUUGUAACAAGUGUCUCGUGUUCUCGUUGAGUAGCCGUCAAGGCCAGAGGACUUGUAACAAGUGUCUCGUGUUUCUCGUUGAGUAGCCGUCAAGGCCAGAGGACUUGUAACAAGUGUCUCGUGUUCUCGUUGAGUAGCCGUCAAGGCCAGAGGACUUGUAACAAGUGUCUCGUGUUUCUCAUUGAGUAGCCGUCAAGGCCAGAGGACUUGUAACAAGUGUCUCGUGUUUCUCAUUGAGUAGCCGUCAAGGCCAGAGGACUUGUAACAAGUGUCUCGUGUUUCUCAUUGAGUAGCCGUCAAGGCCAGAGGACUUGUAACAAGUGUCUCGUGUUUCUCAUUGAGUAGUAUGGUCAGUGGUUAGAGUUGUGUUAUCGUCGGGGCGACGAUAAAAUAGCUGGGGCAGAUUGUGGCAAAGUAGAUAAUCUCCCUCCCCUGGUACUUAGAAACGGCCUAUCAGGGCUCAGUCAUUGCUUUAUAAAGGCUGUGAUUAGGCUACCUGGGAUGCGUCAUUGUUGGCCCCGCCCAUCCGGUACGUGUGCGCUUCCGCCUAACAAAGGUAUGUUUGUAGCUGGUCUGGCUAAUGCUGCAAUGAGCUCUUGGACCUCGGCUAACUAUAUUAAUUUAUUGUAGCUGGAGUCGCCUUUUUGCAGCUUGAAUAGCCAAUUAUUCCUGGCUUCGCUGUGGUUUUUAGGCUGUUUUUGCCACCUGGUUAGACUGAUUUCAUUCAAGUAAUCUUCUGAGACUUGUGCUGUGAGCAACUGUAUGAGGUGUGUGUAACGCUGUAGUCAAUACCUGGCCCCUGAGUCGGGUGGCUAGCUGUCCUAGUAUCCUGGUGGUGGUGGUGUUUGGAGCACGGAGUGUGGAUUGUCGUUUGUAGUCACUCACCUCACUCUGUGUGUGUGUGUGUGUGUGUGUGUGUGUGUGCUUUUACGAAUAGCCACUUUUGCAGCUAGCCUACCCUGCUAGGGGUAAGCCUUCGUAAAACUGAUUAAUGUAUGCCUGGUCGAUUCAUAUCUUUGCCUGAUCUUUUAAAAGGUGUAUUUUCUACUUUGUGAAUUUAAUAAAUAUUUGUAUACGCUA